rnacentral:tRNA from 1 species
CGUGACGUGGCGUAGUUAGACAACGCGUCGGCGUACAUAGCCUGAGGUCGCUGGAUCGAAUCCCGCCGAUACCU